UACGUAGGGUGCAAGCGUUGUCCGGAAUUAUUGGGCGUAAGAGCUCGUAGGCGGUCUGUCGCGUCGGAUGUGAAAACCCAGGGCUCAACCCUGGGCCUGCAUUCGAUACGGGCAGACUAGAGUUCGGUAGGGGAGACGUGGAAUUCCUGGUGUAGCGGUGAAAUGCGCAGAUAUCAGGAGGAACACCGGUGGCGAAGGCGGGUCUCUGGGCCGAUACUGACGCUGGAGGAGCGAAAGCGUGGGGAGCGAACAGG
rnacentral:rRNA from 1 species